UGAAUUAAAUUAUCUUUAACCGCAGAUGAACAUCGAGCGAGCACAUGGAGUUCCAAAUGCUGAUCCUCAGAGAACCCACGUGUGACAGAAAGGAUGGAUGAUCUUUUGGCAGAGUUCCAGCACGGUGGAGUCUGCGCGCGGUAGUUUCAGGCUGAUGUACAAAAAGGGUACAGCAUUUGUUCUGCUGGGGUGUUACACGCAACCUUGUAUUUUCUGCUUGUGUAGCAGUGGCUGGCAAAGCUUCUAUUACCUUCUUAACUAUUCACAUGACUACGUGUAGCAGAUGGUGUCCAGAAAAUACAGGGAUUCUUGAAGUCAGAAAUUAGCCCAUUCAUAUUGGGAUUUAUUAAACAAAAUGAGUCUCUCAUCACAAGAAUAUACAGGCUUAUACCACCUUGAGUUCCAUUAUUUAUGCAGGUGUUCAGCACCUAAGCACUCUCGUAGUCCGGGCCCAGCUGGUUAUGACUGAAAAAGAGCUGAAUGAUGAUUCCACACUGGAUAGGAUGCCAGUGGCUGCAGGCCACCGAGUUCAAUCAUUUAAUGUAAAGAUGAGGUAAACCAGUGUAUUUUCUUGAUUAAAGGCAAACUGAAGUCUUAAGAUGUGCAUUAAACUUAAGAUAAGAGGCAUGUGGAAUGUUCUUGCAUAUAAUGCAGGCUUCUGAUGGCCUAGCGAAAGAUGAAAUAAUGAUACUUUAAACAUAGAUCAGUGAUUUGAAACCCUCUCCUCUAACUUAUUUUGUGCCUUCUAUAAAUGUUUGGUGCACAGAUUGCAAAUUUAGGUCAUGGCAUAAUUGCUUCCUCUUCAUAGAGGAGGAUGCUCAUUCGAGUUGCCAGUUUUGAGUUCCACCCGAAUCUGUAAGCAUUGUGAUACUCAGCUGUUUCAUGCUCAGACAACGGUAUUUCUAAAUAAUUUCAACCCCGCAAGCACAGGAUGAAGAUCAGGAGAGUAUUUCUAUACCUGGCAGGAUGUUUGGGAUAAGGGGACAGACAUCUGUAUCUUGAAGUGAGAGGCAGAGUCAGGCUUCCCUGGCGUGUGACUGGGAGUGAACUGCUGAGGAUGGUGGCAGCCUCUCCACUGCUGCAUUCAUUGGCAAGUGGAAUUAUGACAGAAACCAAGAGAUUUGGAAGUCUCCAUGUUUAGUCUGCUCUUCUAAUUGAGCCCUCUCUGCAGGGCCAAUCAAUUUCAGUAUGGAGGGGUUGCUUCCCAGAUCCUCUAAAUUUGUUUUGAGAAGUUAGAAUUGCCUGUAAUCAUUGGGUAAACCAACAGUCUUGAACGGACAGCAAUGACAACCGCCUGCUUAGAAGGAAAACAAAACUCUCUCUUGUGUCUCCAUGUUAACAUGACUGGAAAUUGAACGUAGGGGGAUCUAGCAUGUGAUUACUCUUUUUAGACAGGAUUUUCUUCAUAGCUGAAUUGGACCGAGUCCUUUUUCUCCCAAACCAGAUGGCCCUUUGUUUCUUGCAGUAUUUUGCCCUUGGAACAGGGACACAGUUUGGAUCCUAGAACAUAAAAGAAGGCUGCAAGCAAUCAUGUUUCUGUAGCUUUGUCACACUUUGUCACUCCUCAACUAAGCUUUAGGAACCAGCUGUAGGGACUCUGCUGUCACGUCCUGUGGUGAAAUGACACCUAUUAGCUUAUGCCAUCUUCGUGUUGUUAAAUUCUACAACUGUGGUAGUCUCACCACAAGUUAUCAGCUGUCCUUGUGCCUAGAAAUGUGUUCAUCCCAUUCAAACUCCUGCAAGCAGAGAACAUAUUUCCUGAGGCCAACAUUUAAAAAUGCUUUCACCUUUCAAAGAACCUUCAGAAUUUGACAAAGUUCAACAUUUUAU